CGGCAUGUACAUGUACACACGACCUUGCAUACCAGUCAGUACCAGAACAGAAACUGCCUGUGUAGCAGAUUUGAAUUCAGUCAGUUGGACCAAAGUGGACCAUGGAGCUAUGGUGAGAAGGAUCGAGGAAUGGGUUUGCUGGAAACAAAAAAUACAUGUAUUGUCAUGAUUGUACUUGUUUGUACAAGAAGAUUGAGAUGAAAUUGCUCAAACCAUGAAUGUUGGCAGUAAAGUGCAUGCCUAUGGAAACUUUCAAGAAUUAAUUGUUGUUCUUGCAAACACAUUUGAUGGAGAUUUAACUGUGUGCCUCCAUGGUGUAAUGUUGCCUACAUCUCCGGAUGAUCAUGAUUUGCACGGUGCUGUACUACUCUGCUAGAAUUACGGAAGACGUGAAGGGUCUGGGUGAAAACGAUGGUGACUGACUUCCUCAAAUGAUACAUCUAGAAUUCUACAUCUACCUGUCUCCAUGAUCCUUUGCGCUAUGCAUGGAUAUGAUCUACCAAAAACUACUGAGAUGAGCUGCAGUAUGUGCAUGUACAAGACAAAGACUGUCUGACUGCUUGUGCCCCGGCUCUGCAAAUUGGAGGCAGCGGCAUGCAUCCUUAACAAGCAGUUGGAAUCAUCAUCCUAAUCUACAAGAUGUCAGUUCCGGAAACUACAAUGGACAUUACUUUUAAAAAGAUUAUCAUAAAGUUUGUUCCAUACAUACACACAUGAACAUGCAAAUGAUAUACAGGUAUGUCACAGCUUGAUAGAAUGACUCUUGGAAAUUACGAUCAGUACUUUCCUUCAAACUUCCAAUUCUAGUUGUCAAACGUGUCUGAAUACCAUUGCCUUUCAAUAAAGCUCUAUGCAUGGUUUUACAAACUGAAUAUAGGCAUGGAUUGUUGCAACCAUCACAAGUCUUUCAUGCAUGUGUCUUUCUUGCCAAAUUUAUAGUAUCUCUCUCAGGAAAACAAUUCAUAUAAAAAUGUGGGGUUUUUUUUGGUUUUUUUGCCCAACUUCUGCUAUUUUUUUCACCACAUUAACCGUGUACACUGUACAGACUGUGUUCAUUAUUGGUGCCUUUGAUUUUAAUACACUGCACUGGAAAGAUAUCUGCUCAUCCCCUACAUGCACAAAUUUGUAAAUUCAGAAGAAUUUGUUUUUUUAAAAAGAACAGAAUAUGUCUGUCCAACUGUAAUUGUGUCAUGGUUGUUUUCCUGAUUUUAUUUAGUAUAAAGAGUAACGCCAUGGUAAUGUCACAUUUUGAAGUUAACAGAAAUCUAUAUUAAUUUUCAACCAAAUUUUUCUCAAUGAAAAUGUGUAAAAAUGUCUGCAAGAAUUGUAUUAAAUGUUCUAUAGAAAAACCUA